rnacentral:RNase_P_RNA from 2 species
UAAGUAAGACAGAUGAUCGCUCUAUCCCGUUUCGAGGAUAGGGAGGAAAGUCCGAACUCCUCAGGGCAUGGUGCUGGAUAACGUCCAGUGGGGGUGACCCUAAGGAAAGUGCCACAGAGAACAGACCGCCGAUGGAUGAUGGCAUGAAUAAUGUUAUCAUAUCAGGCAAGGGUGAAACGGUGAGGUAAGAGCUCACCGCUCCGUUGGUGACAAUGGAGGCACGGUAAACCCCACCAGGAGCAAGACCAAAUAGGGGGACGUUUGAGGGCUGCCCGUCCGAGUCUCCGGGUUAGGUCGCUUAAGGCCUCGAGUGAUCGGGGUCUCAGAGGAAUGAUCAUCGCUUUUGUCAGGGUAACCGGAUAGAAGAACAAAAUUCGGCUUACGUCUUACUUAGUCC